CCUACGGGAGGCUGCAGUGGGGAAUAUUGCACAAUGGGGGAAACCCUGAUGCAGCGACGCCGCGUGAGUGAAGAAGUACUUCGUUUUGUAAAGCUCUAUCAGCAGGGAAGAAAGUGACGGUACCUGAGUAAGAAUCACCUGCUAACUACGUGCCAGCAGCCGCGGUAAUACGUAGGGGGCAAGCGUUAUCCGGAUGUACUGGGUGAAAAGGGAGAGUAGACGGCAGUGCAAGUCUGGCUUGAAAGGCGCGGGAUCAAACCCCGGAUUGCUCUGGAAACUGUACGGCUGGAGUGCAGGAGAGGUAAGUGGAAGUCAUGGUGUAGCGGUGAAAUGCGUAGAUAUUAGGAGGAACACCAGUGGCGAAGGCGGCUUACUGGACUGGAACUGACGUUGAGGCGCGAAAGCGUGGGGAGCAAACAGGAUUAGAUACCCUAGUAGUC
rnacentral:rRNA from 1 species